GGUGGCUCAGUGGUAGAGCGCUUGGCUUGCAUGCAUGAGACCCUGGGUUCGAUUCCUCAGCACCA
rnacentral:tRNA from 1 species